UACGGGGGGGGCAAGCGUUGUUCGGAAUUACUGGGCGUAAAGGGCUCGUAGGCGGCCAACUAAGUCGGAUGUGAAAUCCCCAGGCUUAACCUGGGAACUGCAUCCGAUACUGGAUGGCUUGAAUUCGGGAGAGGGAUGCAGAAUUCCAGGUGUAGCGGUGAAAUGCGUAGAUAUCUGGAGGAACACCGGUGGCGAAGGCGGGUCUCUGGGCCGAUACUGACGCUGAGGAGCGAAAGCGUGGGGAGCGAACAGG
rnacentral:rRNA from 1 species